CGGCGGGGCAGCUGCUCUCCACGAAGCCUGUGAAGCCCGGGUCGGUUCGGAGCUGAGUGAGACCUGGAAUUCACGUGGUCCAAACUCCUUACCAUGGGUUGAACCGUGAGCCUCCCUCCGCUCCCCUCCACCCCAAUUCUGCCACAAAGAUAUGUUCAUUACCUAACCUUUAGAACCUGUGAAUGUGACCUUAUUUGGAAACAUAGCCUUUGCAGAAGUAAUUGGGAGUCUGAGAAGAAGAGUUCAUCCUGGAUCAUCUGGGUGGAUCCUAAAUCCAAUGUAAGUGUUCUUUUAAGAGAAAGGCAGAAGGAGACUUGGGAUAGAAGAGUGGACAGCAGUGAUGUGAAGACAGAAGCAGAGACUGGAGUUCUGCUGCCGCAAGCCAAGGAACACCUGCAUUCACCAGAAGCUGGAAGAGGCCAGGAAAGAUUCCUCGAGGCUUUGGAGGCCCUUUCCACAAGUUGGUGUCAGAUUUCUGGCCUCCGGAACUGGGAGAGAAUAAAUUUCUGUCGUUUGAAGUCACCAAGUUUGUGAUGCUUUGUUGCAGAGGGCCUAGAACAGGGAUACAGCCUCCAUUUUGCAGGCCAUGAGACCAGGUGGAACAUUUUCCCCCAGAUGCCUCUCUGGUGUGCAACUGAGACUUCCACGGGGAACUCUGUAGCUGUAGGAAUGGAGUGGGUGAAGUGAGCUCACACACUGAUGAGCUCAGACCGUGAGUGCAAGGACCUAGGCUCUAGUUCUGGCUCUGCCACUUAUUAACCUUGUG
rnacentral:lncRNA from 1 species